AGAGUUUGAUCCUGGCUCAGGACGAACGCUGGCGGUGUGCUUCACACAUGCAAGUCGAACGAGGUAGCAAUACCUAGUGGCGGACGGGUGAGUAACACGUGGGAAUCUGCCCUAAGGUGGGGGAUAGCAGACCGAAAGGUCUAUUAAUACCGCAUAUGCCGUGAGGUAAAAGGAGUAAUCCGCCCCUGGAUGAGCCUGCGUCCGAUUAGCUAGUUGGUAGGGUAAAGGCCUACCAAGGCUACGAUCGGUAGCUGGUCUGAGAGGAUGAUCAGCCACAAUGGGACUGAGACACGGCCCAUACUCCUACGGGAGGCAGCAGUGGGGAAUUUUACGCAAUGGGGGAAACCCUGACGUAGCGACACCGCGUGAGCGAAGAAGCCCUUUGGGGUGUAAAGCUCUGUCAGCAGGAACGAACAAAAUGACGGUACCUGCAGAGGAAGCAUCGGCUAACUACGUGCCAGCAGCCGCGGUAAGACGUAGGAUGCAAGCGUUGUCCGGAUUUAUUGGGCGUAAAGAGUUCGUAGGCGGUUAUUUAAGUCUGGUGUUAAAUACUGUGGCCCAACCACAGAACUGCAUUGGAUACUGGAUGACUUGAGUGCGGUAGAGGCGAGUGGAAUUCCCAGUGUAGCGGUGAAAUGCGUAGA
rnacentral:rRNA from 1 species